rnacentral:rRNA from 1 species
AUGGCGCACCUCUACAUCGAGUGCCCUUUUGCACGUCAGGUCUGGCACGAAAUCCUUGCCUGGCUACAACUGACUUGCCGUCCACCCGAGUCUGGUAACACCUUCAGGAGCUGGUGGGAUCUUACCAAGCAGGCCACCCCAAAACUGCUGCGCAAAGGACUUGCAUCAACUGCCCUGUUGACCCUGGAUGAUCUGGAACAGAGGAACGCGUGUGUUUUCGAUGGCGACCUCCUGUCUGCCCGGAACACCAUUGCGCGCAUCAAAGAGGAAGCAACGCUUUGGUCCAAAGCUGGAGCCCUCGGCCUUCGAAUGUUUCUUCCGACCACCUGGAACGUUCACUGA